rnacentral:rRNA from 1 species
AAUCAACGCUGGCGGCGUGCCUCAGACAUGCAAGUCGAACGAUUAAACUUUCCUUCGGGGAAGAUAUAGAGUGGCGCACGGGUGAGUAACACGUAAGUAAUCUACCCUUGGGUGGGGAAUAACAUCGGGAAACCGAUGCUAAUACCGCAUAAUGCAGCGGCUUCUUAUGAAGACAGUUGUUAAAGCAUUUAUGUGCCUGAGGAGGAGCUUGCGGCAGAUUAGCAGUUGGUAGGUAAUGGCUUACCAAGCGACGAUCUGUAGCCGACCUGAGAGGGUGGUCGGUCACACUGACACUGAAUAACGGGUCAGACUCCUACGGGAGGCAGCAGUCGGGAAUUUUGGGCAAUGGGCGCAAGCCUGACCCAGCAACGCCGCGUGAAGGAUGAAGUAUUUCGGUAUGUAAACUU